AGCUGGUUCAAAGGUAGUGAGUUGCCAAAGCGGAUUUCUCACAGUCAGGUACAGAUGAAACUUUUUGUUCUCUUUCACUUCUUCUCACUACUGCUUUGAUUAGCUUUUG
ensembl:Y_RNA Y_RNA Y RNA